UUGUUCACACAUUUCUGCUAUAUAUCCAACAAUUCAGACUCCCACAAGUUAGUUUUUGCUAUUUUACGAACAUUUUAGAAAAUUAAUAUCAAAUCAUAGAAAUUUCGGAUUAGAAUUCCGUAAAUUGCUUUGUUCACAAAAUUACGAGAUCUAGUAGAAUUAGGCUCUAAAUCGUUUUGCUAUUUUUGAUAAAUUUUAGUAUUUUCAUAGUUUAAUUAGGGUUUUCAAUUUUAUUAAUAUAAAAAGCUACCUUAGGACUUUAUUUUGGGGAGGAUUUCAAGUUUUAAUAAAAUAUAAGUUUUUUUAUAUUUUCUGAUAGAAAUAAAAUAUAAGUUUUUUUAUAUUUCCUGAUAGAUUCCAGAGUUUUCGG
rnacentral:lncRNA from 1 species